rnacentral:rRNA from 1 species
GACGAACGCUGGCGGCGUGCUUAACACAUGCAAGUCGAACGAAGUGGCGAACGGGUGAGUAACGCGUAAUCAACCUGACCUUCAGAGGGGGAAAAGAGUUGGAAACGACUGCUAAUACCGCACACUGAGGGAGGGGUUGGCGUCUGAGUAGCUAGUUGGAGGGGUAACGGCCCACCAAGGCGAUGAUCAGUAGCCGGUCUGAGAGGAUGAACGGCCACAUUGGGACUGAGACACGGCCCAGACUCCUACGGGAGGCAGCAGUGGGGAAUCUUCCGCAAUGGACGAAAGUCUGACGGAGCAACGCCGCGUGAGUGAUGACGGCCUUCGGGUUGUAAAGCUCUGUUAAUCGGGACGCGGUACCGGAAUAGAAAGCCACGGCUAACUACGUGCCAGCCGCCGCGGUAAUUC